rnacentral:sRNA from 1 species
UUUUUUUGUAUCUGAAGUCUGACGAGGAUGGUUCGACUCGAGCGAAGCGAGAGAACGUUGCGUCAGCAACGGCCCGCAGGGCGAGCCACGUAGUGGCGAGUCAUCCUCUAUCACCG